rnacentral:rRNA from 1 species
GAGAGUUUGAUUCUGGCUCAGGAUGAACGCUGGCGGCGUGCCUAACACAUGCAAGUCGAGCGAGAAAUUCAAGAUCAAAUCUUCGGAAGAGAGAAAGAAUGGAAAGCGGCGGACGGGUGAGUAACGCGUAGGUAACCUGCCCUGUACAGAGGGAUAGCCACUGGAAACGGUGAUUAAUACCUCAUAAUACCGGAAGUUCACAUGGACAAUCGGUCAAAGAUUUAUCGGUACAGGAUGGACCUGCGUCUGAUUAGUUAGUUGGUGAGGUAACGGCUCACCAAGGCGACGAUCAGUAGCCGACCUGAGAGGGUGAUCGGCCACAUUGGAACUGAGACACGGUCCAAACUCCUACGGGAGGCAGCAGUGGGGAAUAUUGCACAAUGGGGGGAACCCUGAUGCAGCAACGCCGCGUGAAUGAAGAAGGCCUUUGGGUCGUAAAGUUCUGUUCUGAGGGAAGAAGAAAGUGACGGUACCUCAGGAGAAAGCCCCGGCUAACUACGUGCCAGCAGCCGCGGUAAUACGUAGGGGGCAAGCGUUGUCCGGAAUCAUUGGGCGUAAAGAGUACGUAGGCGGUCUGAUAAGCACAAGGUUUAAGGCAACAGCUCAACUGUUGUUCGCCUUGUGAACUGUUAGACUUGAGUGCGGGAGAGGAAAGCGGAAUUCCUGGUGUAGCGGUGAAAUGCGUAGAUAUCAGGAGGAAUACCGGUGGCGAAGGCGGCUUUCUGGACCGUAACUGGCGCUGAGGUACGAAAGCGUGGGGAGCAAACAGGAUUAGAUACCCUGGUAGUCCACGCCGUAAACGAUGAGCACUAGGUGUCGGGGCUGUAGAGCUUCGGUGCCGCAGUUAACGCAAUAAGUGCUCCGCCUGGGGAGUACGCACGCAAGUGUGAAACUCAAAGGAAUUGACGGGGACCCGCACAAGCAGCGGAGCAUGUGGUUUAAUUCGAAGCAACGCGAAGAACCUUACCAGGGCUUGACAUCCUCUUGACGUAUUCUUAAUCGGAUAUUUCUUCGGACAAGAGAGACAGGUGGUGCAUGGUUGUCGUCAGCUCGUGUCGUGAGAUGUUGGGUUAAGUCCCGCAACGAGCGCAACCCUUGUCAUUAGUUACUAACGAUUCGGUCGAGGACUCUAAUGAGACUGCCGGGGAGAACUCGGAGGAAGGUGGGGAUGACGUCAAAUCAUCAUGCCCCUUAUGUUCUGGGCUACACACGUGCUACAAUGGUCGGUACAAAGAGAAGCGAGACUGUGAAGUGGAGCGAAACUCAAAAGCCGAUCCCAGUUCGGACUGUAGGCUGAAACCCGCCUACACGAAGUCGGAGUUGCUAGUAAUCGUGGAUCAGAAUGCCACGGUGAAUGCGUUCCCGGGUCUUGUACACACCGCCCGUCACACCAUGGAAGUUGGGGGCGCCCAAAGUCGGUCGACAAAUAGACUGCCUAAGGUGAAACCAAUGACUGGGGUGAAGUCGUAACAAGGUAGCCGUAUCGGAAGGUGCGGCUGGAUCACCUCCUU